rnacentral:lncRNA from 1 species
UCCCUAUCUACUAUUCUAAAACUUUAAUUGGGGUUGUACAUAAUUUGGGUUUGGGUUUUUAAUUUAUCAGCACGCAAAUGUUAAAAGGAGGAAUGAACCCACUAUGAAUAAGUACUUUAAAAAUUCGCAAAAGCUACCCAGGAUUUUGGCUCUCUAGCACUUCAUGCCGGAAAUGGAUGACCUCCAUGUCCAUCAUGAGAUCCAGAUAUCUCUAAAAUACUUGAGACCCAUUGCUUGGUUCAGAUAUCCUUUGAUGUCUGUCAAGUAGGUGCUGAAUAAUAAACCUCCAAAUAAAGUUCACUCUAGCUAAUUCUUACGGGAAUAGUUCCAUAAUUCCAGAAUUUGGAACUAUACCUUCGGUAAAAAUCAUUGUCAAAGGUGGAAAGAAUUGCUUUCUUUUCUCGAUGCGUCAAAUUUAUGAACCUCCUAGGAAGAAGCGAGGGGAGUAAGGUAAGAUCAGAUGACAGAGGAAGAAAGACUGGACGGCUUUUGGUGGCCGUCAAGACACC